CUACGGGCCGCUCCAGUGGGGAAUAUUGCACAAUGGGCGCAAGCCUGAUGCAGCCAUGCCGCGUGUAUGAAGAAGGCCUUCGGGUUGUAAAGUACUUUCAGCGGGGAGGAAGGGAGUAAAAUUAAUACCUUUGCUCAUUGACGUUACCCGCAGAAGAAGCACCGGCUAACUCCGUGCCAGCAGCCGCGGUAAUACGGAGGGUGCAAGCGUUAAUCGGAAUUACUGGGCGUAAAGCGCACGCAGGCGGUUUGUUAAGUCAGAUGUGAAAUCCCCGGGCUCAACCUGGGAACUGCAUCUGAUACUGGCAAGCUUGAGUCUCGGAGAGGGGGGUAGAAUUCCAGGUGUAGCGGUGAAAUGCGUAGAGAUCUGGAGGAAUACCGGUGGCGAAGGCGGCCCCCUGGACGAAGACUGACGCUCAGGUGCGAAAGCGUGGGGAGCAAACAGGUUUAGAUACCCCGGUAGUC
rnacentral:rRNA from 1 species